CCAAUACCUUUUUACUUCUACAGAAGAACUCUGGUUUGGAUUUUCAUUUUUCUGUGAAACAAAUGAAAUAAAGAGAUGUGCGAGCAUACAGGAUCAUUUUGUUAUUAUAUCCCUAUAAUUGUCUGAAGCAGCUUGCACUAGUUUGCUUUUUUGUUUCAUUGCUAAUCCCUAUUUUUCUACUUGUUGUAGGCUUUACCAAGUCCUGUUCCUUGAUUCCCAGUGCCUAACACAGAACAUGACAGACAGAAACUGUAAUUAAAUAAAUGCUUUCUCUGGUUUCUCCUCAGAACCAGAGAACUGACGUCCAUGCUUAUGGCUUUUGAAACACAUAGUGGCAUUUAUAGAAGAAUAUUGUUUUGUUUUGCUUUGCUUUUCAAGACAGAGUUUUUCUGGGUAACAGCCCUGGCUGUCCUGGAACUCACUCUGUGAACCAGGCUGGCCUUGAACUCCGAGAUCUGCCUGUCUCUGCCUCGGUGUCCCUGGCACCCGGCUCCUGUAAAUACGACUUUUCAUGUUGCAGUUUUGAGUAUCACUGGAAUAGCCAUUUUCACUUGGAAUCAUAAUCCAUAGCCCAGCGGUCCAUUUGGCUUUAUGUAUGUGGCAGAUUCACAUCUAUUUGUAUGUAAAAGUUUAAAACCUUGGGGGUUUUGUUUUGGCCUACCAGUUUUGAAACAAAAACUUAGCAUGUCCCUCAGCUGGGUCACGUGACGCCUUCCGUUGAUAAGCAAGGCAAAUGCUUUCAGAACUUCCAGCCCUGACGUUUCUUUCAGUGCAGCAUGUAGUCAGUCUGUGAUCCUUUUGUUAUCAGGUUUUUUCAGUCAGAAUUUAAUUCACAUCCAUUUUUUUUUAAUUCUUAUUACCAUUGCUUUGUUUUUUACUUGUCCACAAAGAGCACGCACGGACAUCUAUCCGUAAUUUCACUUUCUGCGGUUGUGGUACCUGGUGUUAAUUGUGGUCCAGAAAUAUAAAAUAAGCUGAGCAGGGUGGUGUAUUCCUGUAACCUUGGCACUUGAGAAACAGACACAGGAGGGUCAGAAGUUCAAGGCCAUUCUCUGCUACAUAGCAGGUUUGAGGUUAGCCUGGGUAAGAUGAGUUCAUGUCUCAAAAAGCAAAAUAAUAAAAAUAAAAAGCCAAGCUUGAUGGCAUAUGCCUGGAGUCCCAGCACAGAGGAGAUGGAAGCAGAAGAAUUGCUGCAAGUUCAAGACCAUCCUCAGCGACAUA